GACGAACGCUGGCGGCGUGCUUAACACAUGCAAGUCGAACGGAAAGGCCCUGCUUUUGUGGGGUGCUCGAGUGGCGAACGGGUGAGUAACACGUGAGUAACCUGCCCUUGACUUUGGGAUAACUUCAGGAAACUGGGGCUAAUACCGGAUAGGAGCUCCUGCUGCAUGGUGGGGGUUGGAAAGUUUCGGCGGUUGGGGAUGGACUCGCGGCUUAUCAGCUUGUUGGUGGGGUAGUGGCUUACCAAGGCUUUGACGGGUAGCCGGCCUGGGAGGGUGACCGGCCACAUUGGGACUGAGGUACGGCCCAGAGUCCUACGGGAGGCAGCAGGGGGGAGUAUUGCACAAUGGGCGGAAGCCGGAUGCAGCAACGCCGCGUGCGGAAUGACGGCCUUCGGGUUGUAAACCGCUUUCGCCUGUGACGAAGCGUGAGUGACGGUAAUGGGUAAAGAAGCACCGGCUAACUACGUG
rnacentral:rRNA from 1 species